UGCAUCAAGAUCUAUAAGCGUUGCUACCAACAACUCGAGCUCUUCUGGAUCAGUAUAGUCAAUUCCAUCAGCUUCGGAAAGUGCAGAUGCUAUAUCCCAAUAUGCUUCCUGGAUAGCAGUGAGGCGAUCAGCUGAAACUUCCCCAGGAAGAAACUCCAGAGUUUUCCCAUUCUUCUCUAGAGUAAUAUGCCUUGUUUUCUCCGUAUCGAUGGAACUUCUUUUCAAUUUGCACAUCUUGCUCACCAUCCUAUCAUGAAUGUUCUUGACAAACUCCAGAGCCAUCAGAGAAUCCUCCAUUGCACGCUGUUUUGCCACAAAAUCGGCACGUCUUAAAUCAGCCUCCAAGGCACCAUCGCUCCAGUGUCGAUCAGCAGCUUUCUUCAGUCUCGUUUGAGCUAUGUUUUUAAGAAUAGUGGCAACAUGCUGGAUUCUUUCGGCUCUUUUCUUUACAUUGUGAUCAACUUUCUCAGUAUCUUCCCGUGCCCGAGCAUCAAGCUUAAGA
rnacentral:misc_RNA from 1 species